CUGGCUCCUCCAUCUGUGACGUGAUGAUUCAGGGCAAAAGUGGACCUGUCAGAAACAGGAAGGGAAGAUAAGAUAAAAAUAAAACAAAAUAAAGUAAAAAGUUAGCCAGACAUAACUUUCUCCGCGCAGCAACAUUCACAUCCUUAAAACAAAAAUCCCACAGCAGAGCCCAGAAUGGGGGCCAGACUUUGGGCUCCAGGUCAAGACUGGAGAGCAGCGGGGGAAGGGAUUCAGCGCCCUGCACCCGCCCAGAUGCGGGAACAGAGAGCCAGGCGGCCCGGCCAGGACCCAGGGCUGUGGGCAGUGGGGCUGCCUCAGCUCUGCACGCUGUGCUCAGCCCCCCUUCACCCCAAGAGCCAGCGAGCUGGGGAGCUGCAGCGUGAUUGAUGGGCCCCAGCUUGAAUGGAAAGUCCAGAUUCCAGGGAGACCGCUUCAGAGGGCUGCUGCGGGAGGCAGCGGGUGCCACACCAGUCCCAGGAGCCUGGCCCUCGCUUUCCCAGUUUGUGGGGUUCCUGAACUUCCCAGACUUCCCUGUCCCGGGUCAGUUAAUCAGGGAUCCUGCGAUUUGGUAAGCUCCAUAAUUAUCUUAGUUUGACAUGGCAGGAAAUGUUAUUCAUAGUCAGAAAAUUUUCUGAAAUUUUUUUCCCCUGGGGAAAGGGGGCAGUGCUGUAGAAAGAACCCAGCCGAGGUCCCUGAUGCAGCUUUCCCCAAAGACUGAC
rnacentral:lncRNA from 1 species